GUAUCCCCACUCGUUAUCAUACCAAGCGACAACCUUGACCAUGUCAUCUCCCAUAACCAUGGUCAAAGAGGAAUCAAUGGUGGAGGAAACAUCACUGCAUCGGAAAUCAACUGAUACGAGUGGAACAUCACAAACAGCCAAUAUGCCAUUCAGUGGACCGUCAGCUGCCUUUCUGAAAGCUGCAUUGACAUCUUCAGCUGAAAUUCCUUUCUUCUCAAUGUUGACAACGAGGUCAACAACCGAAACAUUAGGUGUUGGAACUCGGAGAGCAAUGCCAUUGAGCUUGCCCUUGAGCUGGGGUAGCACUAGAGAAACAGCCUUGGCUGCACCAGUGCUGGUUGGGACUAUGUUCAAUGCUGCAGCUCUCGCUCUCCUCAAGUCACGGUGUGAAGCAUCCAGAAGCCUCUGCAUACAACAAAUACAAUCGAACCUAUUUAAGACUAAUUAUCGUUUGACAAGAGAGCACCAUCGGAAGGUGCACAUUUCACAGAUUUCUAUUCAAUAUCUCAUAUGAUUACCUGAUCUCCGGUGUAAGAGUGAGUUGUUGUCAUUGUACCCUUAACAAUACCUUCAAAGUGAAUGGAAAUAGUCAAAAAUACUUCAAAACCAUAGAAAUUGUGAACAACGAUUUCAACAGUAUAAUGUGACUGUGAUAAGCGUGAAAUAUAUGGCUAAAACUAUCUGCUGCUUACCGAAUUCUUCAUCCAUGACUUUGACAAAAGGAGCCAAGCAGUUAGUGGUGCAAGAGGCAUUGCUGCAUUUGUAAAGUACUGAAAUUUUCAGAUUUGGAACAUUUGAUGACCACCUUUUUGAACAAGUACAUAAUUCAUUCAGUGAAGCAUUGACCUUACGAUAUUGGCAACCUCGUGAGAGUAGUCUUGUUCAUUCACUCCAACAACGUAGGUCGGAAUAUCAGCACCUUUUGCUGGAGCAGUGAUAAUAACUUUCUUGGCACCAGCUUGGAUGUGCUUCCCAGCACCUGGACCAUCAACGAACACACCGGUUCCCUGGAGUUUCAAACAACAUAAUUACAUAGCUUAAUUAGCACCUUUUUCUCAGGAUUCAGCAUCUUGUGAAUGCUGGGCUCUUAUUGAUCAGGAUUAAUGUCAACACAAUUCAAUCCUGAUUGAUUUAAUCUAAUUAAGAAAAUAAGGUGAUGAUGGGAUUGAAGGAGAUAGGUGGAAGUCAUAAGCUUAGGGGAGGAUAUGCUGCUAUGUUGCUCGGAUCCUCCAAAAAUGCUGCCGAAACUAUGUUGGAUCCUCCAAAAAUGAGCAACUUUUUGAGGAUAUCCGAGCAACAUAGAUAUGCAGUACUCAACUGUUAUAAUGAGGCAUGACUUCUGAUACUCUCUAUGUUAAUUAUGUAUAUUAGCAGGAGAUUUAGAGCUAUAGACGGGUUAAUGAUUUCUAAAAUUAGUAGGAAAUAUGAAUAAUAAUUGGAUGCAUUACUUUUAAAAUGAUAACAACUUUUUCAGUUUCUUGUUUCUUCUUUGCUACCUCUCUUUUGGGUUCAAAGAUGGAAACAUGAAGUUACUGGGAUUACCACAAAUUCAGAAAACCUGUCUAAAGAACUAAGCUUUUUAAUCAGAACUAAAGUAAUUUAUAAGUAGUUCACCUCAAUAACAAUGUCAAUACCGAGUUCAGCCCAAGGAAGCUUAAGAGGAUCCCUGCUAGAGACAACCUUGAUGUGCUUUCCAUCAACGCUAAUGGUUUCAUUAUCCACUAUUUUCACAUCAGCCUUGAAUGUUCCGAGCAUGGAAUCAUACUUAAGCAAGUGGGAUGCCUGCAUUAAUAUAGUAUUGCAGUACCUUUUAAUAAAGGACUAGGAAAAAUUUGAUAGUAAAGCCAGGAAACUGAUAUUGAUCAGUUUAUUUAUUGAAGGAAAAGAAUAGACUUUGGAAUAGUACUCACAUUCUUGACACCGCCACUGUCAUUGACGACGAUGACAUCCAGUGGUGAAUCUUUGCGGCCAUGCCAACAACGGAGGAAAUUCCUGCCAAUGCGUCCAAAACCAUUGAUAGCAACCUUCAAUUUGGCAACAGUUUCUCCCUUCACAGGAGCUGAUCCUGUGGUCUAAUUUGGGAUAGAAUUAGAUGAGGUCCAGAAAAACAGUUACAGAAUACUACUACUCCGUUUCAUUAUAUAUGUCAGUGUUUGAUUGCGCAUGCAGUUUAAGGAGAAAGAAUGACUUUUGGAACUUGUGGUCUUAAACAUGUCAAUGACAUUUCUGUGGGUAUAAGAAUAUAUCAACAGCCUGUGACGUCUUAAUGUUUUGCUUGGCUGUCUAAAACAGAACUGAGGACAGUAUAUAAUUACCUUGGGAGUGAGUUGAGCAGACACAACAUCAAAGAAGGACGACUCCCUGUUCGAAAAUGUCACACAUCCACUUGAUCGAAGACCAGAGAACUCGGCUA
rnacentral:lncRNA from 1 species